rnacentral:rRNA from 1 species
UACGGAGGAUGCGAGCGUUAUCCGGAUUUAUUGGGUUUAAAGGGUGCGUAGGCGGCCUUUUAAGUCAGCGGUGAAAGUCUGUGGCUCAACCAUAGAAUUGCCGUUGAAACUGGGGGGCUUGAGUAUGUUUGAGGCAGGCGGAAUGCGUGGUGUAGCGGUGAAAUGCUUAGAUAUUGCGCAGAACUCCGAUUGCGAAGGCAGCAUACCGGCGGCGAUCUGACGCUGAGGCACGAAAGCGUGGGUAUCGAACAGG